ACAACUACAAUUGCCAUUAUUACACACAGCUCGAUAUAAAGAAAAAAAAGGAAUUUACUCUCGUUGACAUUGUUUUUGUUGGUGUUGUUGUUGUUGCUGUUUUGGGCGCGCGCCAUGCCAAAUUGAUCACACAUACACCCACACAACACUUGCCUACAUACAUACAUGCAUAUUACAUGCUGUAAUAAUUGUAUGUGUACACACUGUUUUAAUUCCGACUCAAAACGCCAUCUGGCGACCGUAGUUUUUGAGCUUUGGUGCGUGCUAAUCGCAAAUUAUAAACACUGGUUUCUUGUGCGCAAAAAUAAAUAACGAUGACGGCUGCCUGUUGCACAUUUGCUGCAAAAAGUUCGUUGACCGAAAGUUUGUGACUUUGAUUUUUUGUACUCUUUUUUUAUUUGUGCAUUUUUAAUGCAUUUGCCUCCCACCCUUGACUACUGUGGCUAACGACAACGACGACGGCCUUAAACUUAAAGCUCGCUGCGCACUCCCCGCUAGGGCAGCAACUCUUGUAAAGUGCACUACAGCAGCCACUGUGCUUUGUUUAUGUGUCGCUUGUAUUCAAAAACUCUACUAUAGACAUAAAAAAUACAUACAUAAAAUGUGUAUAUGUGUGUAAGUACGUCUAGAACUAAGUACAGGGCCCCCGUCUGGGUCUUGGCCGGCUUGCGUGGGAAGGCCGGGAUCGUCGCGUCGUCUGGCGUGGUUCACACACACACCCAGACACACAAAUACAUAAGCACACACAGGAGGAGGCUUUGGCAUUUCACAUUUUAAAUACUGAAAUGCAUGUCUAGGCGCUUACCUGCGUUGCCACUCUUUAUUUUUUCUUUUAUUGAUUUACAUGACGUGUAUGUGUAUGUGUGUGUGUGCAUUUUAGGCCCAUCAGCUGUCGGCUUUUCGAUUUGUCUGUCAAUCAAAAGUUUCCGAUUGAAAUCUUUGAACUGCGGCGGGUAUACAUAUAUUUUUCGCAGCUCCAUCUCCAUCUCCGACUGCUUCAUUUCCGCUACAAUUUUCAAUUAACUUUUAAACUUUUUGCUAAUUGCAUUUGCUAUAAUUGCAUUUCACAACACUACACCACCAACCAUCACUGCGAUUGGUUGUAGCGACACCUGGUGACUGCGCUUAUCAGGCGCAGACACGCUUGCUUCCCUCCCUGUCAUCUCCCCCCGCCAGCUAAGAGCUAAGUGAGCAGAACGUUGCUCGACGUCGUUGUCGGUUUUUUAUGACAACAUCAACAGCAUCAGCAGCAGCAGCGGCAACAUCAUCAUCUGCAUUUGCAUCCACCAUCCUCAUUAAGAGCCCAGAGCUCUCAAUCCCAACAGAACACAACACAACACACACAUACACAUACACAGAAGAAACCAUCCACCUACCCAUUACCUUGCCCCAUGGCAACGUCAACAUUUUAAAUUACAAAAAUUUUUCCAUGCAAUUUCAUGUCUGGGGCUGGCCUUACAGUUUGGCAGCCACUGUGCUUAGUCAAUCAAUUAGCAUGGCCAUGCGAGAGAGCUUCGCAUUAGUAGUAGAAGCAGCAGCAGCAGCAACACCACAAACAAAACGAAACACGAAACGUAACGAAAAGAAAACAAAACAAUACAAAUGAUACAAAUUUGAACUAGUUUCCGAUGUCCAUUAACCAUUCCACUUAUUUAACCCAUUGCCGCCCACUGUGCGUGUUUUUACUCUCUCUCUAUCUCACUCUCUAAAUAUAUGUAACAAACUCUUUUGUUAUUUAUUUUGGCCAAUAUUUUUUUGUUUUGUUGGUUCGGUGAAACUUUCGUUAUUCUGGGCCGUUGCUAUCUUUGCAGCACAGUCUUAAAUAGAAGCGACUAUAUUAACAAACAAAACACACAAAAAAUCAAAUAACGAUUAAAAGAUAAGGCAUAAGCAAUUUGUUGUAUACUCUACAUACAUAUGUGUAUCGUUAAUCGUUGUUAUCGUUAUCGCAGUAAAUAACCAAAAUACCGUGCAGUGUCAAGUGUUUGGAAUUUUGUUUUGCCAACAGUUUGUUCAGUGCAUUUUGAAACUAACCGCAACCAGUGCUGCUCAAAUUGCGCCCAAUUUUUAACAGCCAACAGCCAGCGCAUCUUUAACUGUACGUUCAUAUAUUCUGAUUGGAAAAUAAGAAUAAACAAAAAUACCACCACUAGCACCACCAACCAACCAACCACCACCCACCACACCAUAAAUUCACCACAGCAGCAACAACACUGUAUCCUCCUACACCAAAAAAAAAAAAAAAAAGAAAAACAAAAA